GACGAACGCUGGCGGCGUGCUUAACACAUGCAAGUCGAACGAAGAGCGACGGAAGCUUGCUUCUAUCAAUCUUAGUGGCGAACGGGUGAGUAACGCGUAAUCAACCUGCCCUUCAGAGGGGGACAACAGUUGGAAACGACUGCAAAUACCGCAUACGAUCUAAUCUCGGCAUCGAGGAUGGAUGAAAGGUGGCCUCUACAUGUAAGCUAUCACUGAAGGAGGGGAUUGCGUCUGAUUAGCUAGUUGGAGGGGUAACGGCCCACCAAGGCGAUGAUCAGUAGCCGGUCUGAGAGGAUGAACGGCCACAUUGGGACUGAGACACGGCCCAGACUCCUACGGGAGGCAGCAGUGGGGAAUCUUCCGCAAUGGACGAAAGUCUGACGGAGCAACGCCGCGUGAGUGAUGACGGCCUUCGGGUUGUAAAGCUCUGUUAAUCGGGACGAAAGGCCUUCUUGCGAAUAGUGAGAAGGAUUGACGGUACCGGAAUAGAAAGCCACGGCUAACUACGUG
rnacentral:rRNA from 1 species